GUUCUUCGGUACAGGCCGUCAUGGGAAGUUGUGACAGACGCGGCUUUAAUGCCACCUCCGGUUCCUCUGACCCUUCUUGUUUUAAGGGGUUUGUUGUCGAUAUCUGUGGCGACAGAGGUUGGUUUAAAACGACUGGUCGUCCUCCGGACGAGAAAGAUAUAUUACUCAGCUCAGAGAUCUUCGAUGGAUUCCCCUGCAAAUACAAUGGAUAGUUCCGAUAAGGGGUGCCGGUUGAUUUUGGAGACAAACUCUAGAAAGCGCUCUGCUCCUAGUUCCAGAAUCGGGAUCUCGUUGUCUUCAAAAGGCCUGGGCGGACGAUGGGCCGAGCUCUCGACCUUCUGCGUCGGAAGGGCGAGUAUGCUUUUUCCUUCGAGUUUUUAGACAACACUCAUCUUGCUAAUGAUGGGAAAGCUUGCUCGCGUCUCCAUUGUGAGAUCCGCCUCGCUGGUGAUCUUAGUUUUUCAGAGCAGAUAUUUGUUGGGAAUGACAUUUACGAAAGUGUAUACCGAUAUAAUGUUUUGUUUAUUUGUUGCAUAUGGGCUGGGUGAUUCGCAACCUGGCAUUCUACGAGUACAAGAUCUGAGAGGUUCGAGUUAAGGUCGUCAUUGCGGAGAAAGAAGCCCUUCAAUGUAAAGAUGCAUUGAAGGCGGAGCAAGCCAAAACCCAGAAAGUGCUCGUGCUAGGACUUUGUUAAGUUAGUUUUUGCAUUGUGCUAGGGAAACGGCUUAUUCAUGACCACACUACGAAGGCGGAGAAAAUACAUACCCAAACUAUAUUAACGUGCCAAAAUAUUCCCAAACUAUAUAAAAAUUCGAAUUGCUUACCUAAACUCACAAUAAAUAACUAAAACAUGCCUCAUAACUGACACAUGUCAGUCCUUUCUAAAAUGUGUUGAUUUAUUUUUUUUAAUUAUUAUAUUUUAUUCUUUAUCA